GGGGAGAUGGCUCAACGGUUCAGAGCACUGGCUUGUCUUGAGGACAGAGGACAUGGGUUCAAUUCCCAGCAUCCUCA
rnacentral:tRNA from 1 species